GGUGUGUGUGCCUUUUUGUGAUCUCUCUGCAAGAUGGGUCAUUUGUCUAAUUUCCAUGGAGGAACAGGAUGGGCCUAUAGCAGGCCCUGUCAUCAUCAGAGCUCAGGGGCCAGGUGCUCCACUCCACUUCUGUAUUUUUAACUCACGGUAUUUUUUUUUAUGUGGAAGUAUUUUUAAAUAAAUUGCAGAUAUCCUGACAUUCCACCCUUAAAUAAUUUAUCAUACAUUUCUAAAACAAGAGCUCUUGCUGCUUAGCAAAUUAAUAUGAUCACAGCCAAUGCAAUUAAAAAUAGUUUCUUAAUAGACUCUACUACUCAGUGCAUAUUCACAUUUAGACCCAACAAGUUCAGCACUUCAACCAUAAGCAGAAACUCUGGUCUGUCUGAAACCUUGGCUGUCGCCAGACUUUCUUUUUUCUUUUUUUGAGACAGAGUUUCUCUCUUGUUUCCCAGGCUGGAGUGCAAUGGCGCGAUCUCGGCUCACUGCAACCUCCACCUCCCAGGUUCAAGCAAUUCUGCUGCCUCAGCCUCCCUAGUAGCUGGGAUUACAGGCAUGUGCCACCACGCCCGGCUAAUUUUGCAUUUUUAGUAGAGACAGGGUUUCUCCAUGUUGGUCAGGCUGGUCUCGAACGCCCAACCUCAGGUGAUCUGCCUGCCUCGGCCUCCCAAAGUGCUGGGAUUACAGGCAUGAGCCACCACGCCCGGCCGGCUGUCCGCAGACUUUCUAGCCUUUGGCAGGGUAUGGAGCCUGGUACCCAGAGGAGCCCAGGAAGGAAGGCGAAACUGGAAACAGGAAGCCGGAGACUGGGGUUUCCAAGAAAAAGACCGCAGACCCUGGGAGCCUAAAUUUUCCCUGGAUACCAGGAAGCUCCCAGAACCUUAGGGGUGAGGAAACUGAGGUCCAGGGAAGGUCCGUGACCUGUUGAAGGUGGCAGGUGGCUUUUUGGGUAUCCAGGCUCCUGAGCUCCAUCAUGGUUUUCCACCAUAUGUCCCCCCUGCAAUCAGAGCAGGAAACCAGGAAGGUGGUCAGAGACUGCCACAUAAUUGCACAUAGGUGCAGAGGCAACCCCUUCCCCAUCCCACUACUCGCAGGGUUGGUUGCCAUACCCACCUCACAAGGAUGAAGUCUGCUCCUGGCCACUGCUGCCAGAAAAGUGUCAGUGAGCAUGCAUGGAUUUUGAGCCCAGUUUGGUCAGUUUCCUCACCCUGAUUUUUUCCUUUAUUUUCCUCUACUGUCCACCAAGAAGAGGGGCCUGUUUCCUUCAAGUCUCCAGGUUCACCCUCUGCCCACACACUAUUAUCUGUCUUUUCAGCUGCAGUAAGCUCUGGAAAGGCAGAUGGUCUCUGCUGUGUCACAGUUGAGUCUGCUUUCUUCUACACCUCACUCCCUCUAAAACUCAGCCUUUGUUGGGUGUUCUCCUUUUGUCUGGUGCUUUUUGAAUACAUCACCCUACUUAGAAAUCCAAAUAGCUUGGUAAUAUGUGUGUUAUCAGUUCUGUUUUUACCAAUAAGAAGACUCGGGGUAGAGACCUUAAGAAACUUUUCCAGCAUCAUUUAGUUGGUAAAAAGGAAGGGGGUUCUUUGUUACACAAUGGCAGAAAGUUUAGCAACACUGUCAUCUGCAGUAAUGUGGAAAGUAGAAAAUGUCCCUCAUGAGCUGGGUUGUACAGCUAGGAUUUCCAGGCAAACUCUUGAAAGUGCUACCUGGUUUCUUCUUGUGGCUCAUUGUGAAAUGAGAGAGGUGAGAGGUAAACUCUAGGCAGGAUUAUUCAACAUGAGGGAGCUGGGACUUGAUGACUUAAAAAAUUCUCAGCCUCCAGACAGUAAAUGAUGCUAAAAUCAAAUCCAGGGCACGUUCAGGAAUAUGUGGUCUAAAGAUGAAACCAAGGCUAUGCUGUAAAAUCCUUUGUUAAGACCUCAGAAAGUUGUGUGUUUAGUAGGAAAAACCAAAUUGUUUUCAGGUAUGGAAGGGCUGGAGGGCAGGAGCUUCUGGUCUCUGUGGAGCUGGGGUGCACCAUACCUCCCAGCACAUGAAUGUGUUCACCAACUCAGAAGCUCCUGAACCUUACUUUUGUGAUUUUUACAGAGACUUCAUCAUGUCAGCUUGAUUGAUGAUUAAUGCAGUCUUCAGCCCCCUCCCCUCCCUGGGGUAUGGGAGGUGGGGUGAAAGUUCCAAGCUUUCAAUCAUGGAUUGAUCCUUCUGGUGACCAGCCCCCAUCCAAGAGCACACUAAGAGUCACCUCUUUAGAGGAAAAGAUGCCAGGAAAUUCCAAGGGAGGUAGGACCUCUGUGUUAGACACUCCUAUCACUCAGGAGAUUAGAAAGGUCUUAGGAGCUCUGUGUCAGGAGCAGAGGUCAAAGACCAAAUAUGAGAACAAAAGAUUAUCUUAGCACUCCCAUUUAUAAGGGUCUCAGGAGCUCUGUGUCAGGAACUAGGGUCAAAGAAAUA
rnacentral:lncRNA from 10 species